GACGAACGCUGGCGGCGUGCUUAACACAUGCAAGUCGAACGGAAAGGCCCUGCUUUCGUGGGGUGCUCGAGUGGCGAACGGGUGAGUAACACGUGAGUAACCUGCCCUUGACUUUGGGAUAACUUCAGGAAACUGGGGCUAAUACCGUAUAGGAGCUCCUGCUGCAUGGUGGGGGUGGGAAAUUUUCGGCGGUUGGGGAUGGACUCGCGGCUUAUCAGCUUGUUGGUGGGGUAGUGGCUUACCAAGGCUUGGACGGGUCGCCGGCCUGAGAGGGUGACCGGCCACAUUGGGACUGAGAUACGGACCAGACUCCUACGGGGGGCAGCAGUGGGGAAUAUUGCCCAAUGGGCGGAAGCCUGAUGAAACAACGCCGCGUGCGGGAUGACGGCCUUCGGGUUGUAAAACGCUUCAGCCUGUGACGACGCGUGAGUGACGGUAAUGGGUAAAGAAGCACCGGCUAACUACGUG
rnacentral:rRNA from 1 species